rnacentral:rRNA from 1 species
GAUGAACGCUAGCUACAGGCUUAACACAUGCAAGUCGAGGGGCAGCAUGGUCUUAGCUUGCUAAGGCCGAUGGCGACCGGCGCACGGGUGAGUAACACGUAUCCAACCUGCCGUCUACUCUUGGACAGCCUUCUGAAAGGAAGAUUAAUACAAGAUGGCAUCAUGAGUCCGCAUGUUCACAUGAUUAAAGGUAUUCCGGUAGACGAUGGGGAUGCGUUCCAUUAGAUAGUAGCCGGGGUAACGGCCCACCUAGUCUUCGAUGGAUAGGGGUUCUGAGAGGAAGGUCCCACACAUUGGAACUGAGACACGGUCCAAACUCCUACGGGAGGCAGCAGUGAGGAAUAUUGGUCAAUGGGCGCAGGCCUGAACCAGCCAAGUAGCGUGAAGGAUGACUGCCCUAUGGGUUGUAAACUUCUUUUAGAAAGGAAUAAAGUCGGGUAUGUAUACCCGUUUGCAUGUACUUUAUGAAUAAGGAUCGGCUAACUCCGUG